CCUACGGGUGGCAGCAGUGGGGAAUAUUGGACAAUGGGGGGAACCCUGAUCCAGCCAUGCCGCGUGUGUGAAGAAGGCCCUCGGGUUGUAAAGCACUUUCAGUGAGGAAGAACGCCUGGUGGUUAAUACCCAUCAGGAAAGACAUCACUCACAGAAGAAGCACCGGCUAACUCCGUGCCAGCAGCCGCGGUAAUACGGAGGGUGCGAGCGUUAAUCGGAAUUACUGGGCGUAAAGCGCGCGUAGGUGGCUUGAUAAGCCGGUUGUGAAAGCCCCGGGCUCAACCUGGGAACGGCAUCCGGAACUGUCAAGCUAGAGUGCAGGCGAGGAAGGUAGAAUUCCCGGUGUAGCGGUGAAAUGCGUAGAGAUCGGGAGGAAUACCAGUGGCGAAGGCGGCCUUCUGGACUGACACUGCCACUGAGGUGCGAAAGCGUGGGUAGCAAACAGGAUUAGAUACACGUGUAGUC
rnacentral:rRNA from 1 species